rnacentral:rRNA from 1 species
CCUACGGGAGGCAGCAGUGGGGAAUUUUGGACAAUGGGCGAAAGCCUGAUCCAGCAAUGCCGCGUGUGGGAAGAAGGCCUUCGGGUUGUAAACCACUUUUGUACGGAACGAAACGGUUCGCUUUAAUACAGUGGGCUAAUGACGGUACCGUAAGAAUAAGCACCGGCUAACUACGUGCCAGCAGCCGCGGUAAUACGUAGGGUGCGAGCGUUAAUCGGAAUUACUGGGCGUAAAGCGUGCGCAGGCGGUCAUAUAAGACAGUUGUGAAAUCCCCGGGCUCAACCUGGGAAUUGCAUCUGUGACUGUAUAGCUAGAGUACGGUAGAGGGGGAUGGAAUUCCGCGUGUAGCAGUGAAAUGCGUAGAUAUGCGGAGGAACACCGAUGGCGAAGGCAAUCCCCUGGACCUGUACUGACGCUCAUGCACGAAAGCGUGGGGAGCGAAACAGGAUUAGAUACCCUGGUAGUCCACGCCCUAAACGAUGUCAACUGGUUGUUGGGUGCAUUAGUACUCAGUACGAAGCUAACGCGUGAAGUUGACCGCCUGGGGAGUACGGCCGCAAGGUUGAAACUUCAAGAAUUGNGNGNGNGNGNGCGAGNGAGAGAGGAGAG